AACCUCCGCAAUGUGAGAAAUCGCGACGGGGGGAUCCCAAGUGCCAUUCUUAACGGGAUGGCUUUUCAUUAGUGUAAAGAGCUUUUGGAAUAAGGGCUGGGCAAGACCGGUGCCAGCCGCCGCGGUAACACCGGCAGCUCUAGUGGUGGCAGUUUUUAUUGGGCCUAAAGCGUCCGUAGCCGGUUUAAUAAGUCUCUGGUGAAAUCCUGUAGCUUAACUGUGGGAAUUGCUGGAGAUACUAUUAGACUUGAGACCGGGAGAGGUUAGAGGUACUCCCAGGGUAGAGGUGAAAUUCUGUAAUCCUGGGAGGACCGCCUGUUGCGAAGGCGUCUAACUGGAACGGUUCUGACGGUGAGGGACGAAAGUUAGGGGCGCGAACCGGAUUAGAUACCCGGGUAGUCCUAACCGUAAACGAUGCGGACUUGGUGUUGGGGUGGCUUUGAGCUGCUCCAGUGCCGAAGGGAAGCUGUUAAGUCCGCCGCCUGGGAAGUACGGUCGCAAGACUGAAACUUAAAGGAAUU
rnacentral:rRNA from 1 species